AGGGGAUGCCCAUCGUUUACUGUGAAAAAAUUAGAGUGUUCAAAGCAGGCUUACGCCUUGAAUAUAUUAGCAUGGAAUAAUAAGAUAGGACCUGGGUACUAUUUUGUUGGUUUGCGCACCGAGGUAAUGAUUAAUAGGGACAGUUGGGGGUAUUCGUAUUCCAUUGUCAGAGGUGAAAUUCUUGGAUUUUUGGAAGACGAACUACUGCGAAAGCAUUUACCAAGGAUGUUUUCAUUAAUCAAGAACGAAAGUAUGGGGAUCGAAGAUGAUUAGAUACCAUCGUAGUCUAUACCAUAAACUAUGCCGACUCAGGAUCGGCGGGGCAAUU
rnacentral:rRNA from 1 species